rnacentral:rRNA from 1 species
UACGUAGGGUGCGAGCGUUGUCCGGAAUUAUUGGGCGUAAAGAGCUCGUAGGCGGCUUGUCGCGUCGGAUGUGAAAGCCCGGGGCUUAACUCCGGGUCUGCAUUCGAUACGGGCAGGCUAGAGUUCGGUAGGGGAGACUGGAAUUCCUGGUGUAGCGGUGAAAUGCGCAGAUAUCAGGAGGAACACCAGUGGCGAAGGCGACUACCUGGCCUGUUCUUGACGCUGAGGCGCGAAAGCUAGGGGAGCAAACGGG